GUGGGGAAUCUUGCGCAAUGGGCGAAAGCCUGACGCAGCCAUGCCGCGUGAAUGAUGAAGGUCUUAGGAUUGUAAAAUUCUUUCACCGGGGACGAUAAUGACGGUACCCGGAGAAGAAGCUCCGGCUAACUUCGUGCCAGCAGCCGCGGUAAUACGAAGGGGGCUAGCGUUGCUCGGAAUUACUGGGCGUAAAGGGCGCGUAGGCGGACAGGUUAGUCAGAGGUGAAAGCCCAGGGCUCAACCUUGGAAUUGCCUUUGAUACUGGCUGUCUUGAGUUUGGGAGAGGUGAGUGGAACUCCGAGUGUAGAGGUGAAAUUCGUAGAUAUUCGGAAGAACACCAGUGGCGAAGGCGACUCACUGGCCCAAUACUGACGCUGAGGCGCGAAAGCGUGGGGAGCAAACAGGAUUAGAAACCCCUGUAGUCC
rnacentral:rRNA from 1 species